AGGGAAUUUUCGUCAAUGGGGGGAACCCUGAACGAGCAAUGCCGCGUGAGUGAGGAAGGUCUUCGGAUCGUAAAGCUCUGUUGUAAGAGAAAAACGACAUUCAUAGGGAAUGAUGAGUGAGUGAUGGUAUCUUACCAGAAAGUCACGGCUAACUACGUGCCAGCAGCCGCGGUAAUACGUAGGUGGCGAGCGUUAUCCGGAAUGAUUGGGCGUAAAGGGUGCGUAGGUGGCAGAACAAGUCUGGAGUAAAAGGUAUGGGCUCAACCCGUACUGGCUCUGGAAACUGUUCAGCUAGAGAACAGAAGAGGACGGCGGAACUCCAUGUGUAGCGGUAAAAUGCGUAGAUAUAUGGAAGAACACCGGUGGCGAAGGCGGCCGUCUGGUCUGUUGCUGACACUGAAGCACGAAAGCGUGGGGAGCAAAUAGGAUUAGAUACCCUAGUAGUCCACGCCGUAAACGAUGAGAACUAGGUGUUGGGGGAAUAACUCAGUGCCGCAGUUAACGCAAUAAGUUCUCCGCCUGGGGAGUAUGCACGCAAGUGUGAAACUCAAAGGAAUUGACGGGGGCCCGCACAAGCGGUGGAGUAUGUGGUUUAAUUCGAAGCAACGCGAAGAACCUUACCAGGCCUUGACAUCCCUUGCAGAGGUAUAGAGAUAUAUCCGAGGUUAUCAAGGAGACAGGUGGUGCAUGGUUGUCGUCAGCUCGUGUCGUGAGAUGUUGGGUUAAGUCCCGCAACGAGCGCAACCCUUGUGAUAUGUUACUAACAUUGAGUUGAGGACUCAUAUCAGACUGCCGGUGAUAAGCCGGAGGAAGGUGGGGAUGACGUCAAAUCAUCAUGCCCCUUAUGGCCUGGGCUACACACGUACUACAAUGGCGUCUACAAAGAGCGGCAAGCCUGUGAAGGCAAGCGAAUCUCAUAAAGGACGUCUCAGUUCGGAUUGAAGUCUGCAACCCGACUUCAUGAAGCUGGAAUCGCUAGUAAUCGCGAAUCAGCAUGUCGCGGUGAAUACGUUCUCG
rnacentral:rRNA from 1 species